rnacentral:rRNA from 1 species
GAUGAACGCUAGCUACAGGCUUAACACAUGCAAGUCGAGGGGAAACGACAUCGAAAGCUUGCUUUUGAUGGGCGUCGACCGGCGCACGGGUGAGUAACGCGUAUCCAACCUGCCCACCACUUGGGGAUAACCUUGCGAAAGUAAGACUAAUACCCAAUGACGUCUCUAGAAGACAUCUGAAAGAGAUUAAAGAUUUAUCGGUGAUGGAUGGGGAUGCGUCUGAUAGCUUGUUGGCGGGGUAACGGCCCACCAAGGCGACGAUCAGUAGGGGUUCUGAGAGGAAGGUCCCCCACACUGGAACUGAGACACGGUCCAAACUCCUACGGGAGGCAGCAGUGAGGAAUAUUGGUCAAUGGGCGAGAGCCUGAACCAGCCAAGUAGCGUGCAGGAUGACGGCCCUAUGGGUUGUAAACUGCUUUUAUAAGGGAAUAAAGUGAGUCUCGUGAGACUUUUUGCAUGUACCUUAUGAAUAAGGACCGGCUAAUUCCGUGCCAGCCGCCGCCGUAA